UGAAUACGAGACGCUAAGGCGUCGAAGUAGUGUAUGUCAUACUUCCAAGAAAAGCUUGCACUGUCAUAAGUAAAAAAUGCCUGUACCAUAACCGACACAGGUGGGUAGGUAGAGUAUACUAAGGGGCGCGAGAUAACUCUCUCUAAGGAACUCGGCAAAAUAACUCCGUAACUUCGGGAGAAGGAGUACCUUAUUCUAUAAGGUUGCAAUAACAAGAUCCAAGCAACUGUUUAUCAAAAACACAGGUCUCCGCUAAGUCGUAAGACGAUGUAUGGGGGCUGACGCCUGCCCAGUGCCGGAAGGUUAAAGAAGUCGGUUAGCAUUAGCGAAGCUGGUAACUGAAGCCCUGGUGAACGGCGGCCGUAACCAUAACGGUCCUAAGGUAGCGAAAUUCCUUGUCGGGUAAGUUCCGACCCGCACGAAAGGCGUAAUGAUUUGGAUACUGUCUCGGAGAGGGGCUCGGUGAAAUAGACUUGUCUGUGAAGAUGCGGACUACCUGCACCAGGACAGAAAGACCCUAUGAAGCUUUACUGUAACUUGAAAUUGAAAUUGGACUUUAUUCGCGCAGUAUAGGUGGGAGGUGUUGAUUAUAAUCUUGCGGGAUUAUUGGAGCCAUCAGUGAGAUACCACUCUUGUAAUGUUAGAUUUCUAACUUUGAAUCAUUAUCUGGUCAAAGGACAGUUUCAGGCGGGCAGUUUGACUGGGGCGGUCGCCUCCCAAACGGUAACGGAGGCGUACAAAGGUUUCCUCUGAACGGGUAGAAAUCGUAUCUAGAGUGUAAAGGCAUAAGGAAGCUUGACUGUGAGACCUACAAGUCGAACAGGGACGAAAGUCGGUCUUAGUGAUCUGACGGUACUGAGUGGAAAGGCCGUCACUCAACGGAUAAAAGUUACUCUAGGAUAACAGGCUGAUCUCCCCCAAGAGUUCACAUCGACGGGGAGGUUUGGCACCUCGAUGUCGGCUCAUCGCAUCCUGGGGCGGUAGUACGUCCCAAGGGUUGGGCUGUUCGCCCAUGAAAGCGGUACGCGAGCUGGGUUCAGAACGUCGUGAGACAGUUCGGUCCAUAUCCGGUGUAGGCGUUAGAAUAUUGAGAGGAGCCUUCUUUAGUACGAGAGGACCGAGAAGGACAUACCUCUGGUGUACCAGUUAUCGUGCCAACGGUAAACGCUGGGUAGCUAUGUAUGGAGUGGAUAACCGCUGAAGGCAUCUAAGUGGGAAGCCCACCUCAAGAUAAGUAUUCUCA
rnacentral:rRNA from 1 species